AAGCACCUGAGGAGGAAAGGAAGGACAGUACACUCCCACACCAAGCAAGAAAGCAAGUCCUUGACAAAACGCGAAGAAAUUAUUUGCAGUUCGGUUGAUAGUUUUAUACGAAUACAAAAAUUCGCUGGAAAAUUGCUGACAUUGCCGAUAGCAGCAAACAACAUACUUCAUUUACCAUGAAUAAAGUCCUGCUUCUGACGAUGGUGUUGCUGGUCCUUGUGGGCGUAGCGUGGUCCUUCCCGCAGAUUAUAACACAGCGAAGGAGGUUUCCUGGCGAGAGGCGCCUGGGAACCAUCAAUUACGGGCAGUAUCGUUUCGGCAAGCAUGGCUACCAGCGGAAAUGUCACCCGAGAAAAAGAAGAUGUAUCUUUUAAUUUGAAAACUACGAGAGAGCAAUUUUUCCUCCAACAAGUCACAUGCUUAAGAACGCAGAUUGUGUCGCCUCGCCCUAGUGCAGCCACGUGUCUUGGGUACCAAUUACAGUAUCUUGAUGCCAUGGUCUAAUCCCAGAAGCCGGCAAACAAGGAGAGGAAUACUCUCAUGUGUCUGAUGUGAGUGUUAGUUAUUCGGUGCUGGAUUGGAAAAGAAAAUUAAGUUUGAAAAAAAAAAAAAAAAAAAAAAAAAAAAAAAAAAAAAAAAAAAAAAAAAAAAAAAAAAAAAAAAAAAAAAAAAAAAAAAAAAAAAAAAAAAAAAAAAAAAAAAAAAAAAAAAAAAAAAAAAAAAAAAAAAAAAAAAAA